CGUCAAGUCAUCACUGGCCCUUACGGCCUGGGCUACACACGUGCUACAAUGGUCGGUACAAAGGGUUGCCAAGCCGCGAGGUGGAGCUAAUCCCAUAAAACCGAUCCGUAGUCCGGAUCGCAGUCUGCAACUCGACUGCGUGAAGUCGGAAUCGCUAGUAAUCGUGAAUCAGAAUGUCACGGUGAAUACGUUCCCGGGCCUU
rnacentral:rRNA from 1 species